rnacentral:rRNA from 2 species
UAAGUUAGAAAGGGCGCACGGUGGAUGCCUUGACACUAGGAGUCGAUGAAGGACGGGACUAACGCCGAUAUGCUUCGGGGAGCUGUAAGUAAGCUUUGAUCCGAAGAUUUCCGAAUGGGGAAACCCACCAUACGUAAUGGUAUGGUAUCCUUAUCUGAAUACAUAGGGUAAGGAAGACAGACCCAGGGAACUGAAACAUCUAAGUACCUGGAGGAAGAGAAAGCAAAUGCGAUUUCCUGAGUAGCGGCGAGCGAAACGGAACAUAGCCCAAACCAAGAGGCUUGCCUCUUGGGGUUGUAGGACAUUCUAUACGGAGUUACAAAGGAACGAGGUAGACGAAGCGACCUGGAAAGGUCCGUCGUAGAGGGUAACAACCCCGUAGUCGAAACUUCGUUCUCUCUUGAAUGUAUCCUGAGUACGGCGGAACACGUGAAAUUCCGUCGGAAUCUGGGAGGACCAUCUCCCAAGGCUAAAUACUCCCUAGUGAUCGAUAGUGAACCAGUACCGUGAGGGAAAGGUGAAAAGCACCCCGGAAGGGGAGUGAAAGAGAUCCUGAAACCGUGUGCCUACAAAUAGUCAGAGCCCGUUAACGGGUGAUGGCGUGCCUUUUGUAGAAUGAACCGGCGAGUUACGAUCCCGUGCGAGGUUAAGCUGAAGAGGCGGAGCCGCAGCGAAAGCGAGUCUGAAUAGGGCGUUUAGUACGUGGUCGUAGACCCGAAACCAGGUGAUCUACCCAUGUCCAGGGUGAAGUUCAGGUAACACUGAAUGGAGGCCCGAACCCACGCACGUUGAAAAGUGCGGGGAUGAGGUGUGGGUAGCGGAGAAAUUCCAAUCGAACCUGGAGAUAGCUGGUUCUCCCCGAAAUAGCUUUAGGGCUAGCCUUAAGUGUAAGAGUCUUGGAGGUAGAGCACUGAUUGGACUAGGGGUCCUCAUCGGAUUACCGAAUUCAGUCAAACUCCGAAUGCCAAUGACUUAUCCUUAGGAGUCAGACUGCGAGUGAUAAGAUCCGUAGUCAAAAGGGAACAGCCCAGACCGCCAGCUAAGGUCCCAAAGUGUGUAUUAAGUGGAAAAGGAUGUGGAGUUGCUUAGACAACUAGGAUGUUGGCUUAGAAGCAGCCACCAUUUAAAGAGUGCGUAAUAGCUCACUAGUCGAGUGACUCUGCGCCGAAAAUGUACCGGGGCUAAAUACACCACCGAAGCUGCGGAUUGAUACCAAUGGUAUCAGUGGUAGGGGAGCGUUCUAAGGACAGUGAAGUCAGACCGGAAGGACUGGUGGAGUGCUUAGAAGUGAGAAUGCCGGUAUGAGUAGCGAAAGACGGGUGAGAAUCCCGUCCACCGAAUGCCUAAGGUUUCCUGAGGAAGGCUCGUCCGCUCAGGGUUAGUCAGGACCUAAGCCGAGGCCGACAGGCGUAGGCGAUGGACAACAGGUUGAUAUUCCUGUACCACCUCUUUAUCGUUUGAGCAAUGGAGGGACGCAGAAGGAUAGAAGAAGCGUGCGAUUGGUUGUGCACGUCCAAGCAGUUAGGCUGAUAAGUAGGCAAAUCCGCUUAUCGUGAAGGCUGAGCUGUGAUGGGGAAGCUCCUUAUGGAGCGAAGUCUUUGAUUCCCCGCUGCCAAGAAAAGCUUCUAGCGAGAUAAAAGGUGCCUGUACCGCAAACCGACACAGGUAGGCGAGGAGAGAAUCCUAAGGUGUGCGAGAGAACUCUGGUUAAGGAACUCGGCAAAAUGACCCCGUAACUUCGGGAGAAGGGGUGCUUUCUUAACGGAAAGCCGCAGUGAAUAGGCCCAAGCGACUGUUUAGCAAAAACACAGCUCUCUGCGAAGCCGUAAGGCGAAGUAUAGGGGGUGACACCUGCCCGGUGCUGGAAGGUUAAGGAGAGGGGUUAGCGUAAGCGAAGCUCUGAACUGAAGCCCCAGUAAACGGCGGCCGUAACUAUAACGGUCCUAAGGUAGCGAAAUUCCUUGUCGGGUAAGUUCCGACCCGCACGAAAGGUGUAACGAUUUGGGCACUGUCUCAACCAGAGACUCGGUGAAAUUAUAGUACCUGUGAAGAUGCAGGUUACCCGCGACAGGACGGAAAGACCCCGUGGAGCUUUACUGUAGCCUGAUAUUGAAUUUUGGUACAGUUUGUACAGGAUAGGCGGGAGCCUUUGAAACCGGAGCGCUAGCUUCGGUGGAGGCGCUGGUGGGAUACCGCCCUGACUGUAUUGAAAUUCUAACCUACGGGUCUUAUCGACCCGGGAGACAGUGUCAGGUGGGCAGUUUGACUGGGGCGGUCGCCUCCUAAAGUGUAACGGAGGCGCCCAAAGGUUCCCUCAGAAUGGUUGGAAAUCAUUCGUAGAGUGCAAAGGCAUAAGGGAGCUUGACUGCGAGACCUACAAGUCGAGCAGGGACGAAAGUCGGGCUUAGUGAUCCGGUGGUUCCGCAUGGAAGGGCCAUCGCUCAACGGAUAAAAGCUACCCCGGGGAUAACAGGCUUAUCUCCCCCAAGAGUCCACAUCGACGGGGAGGUUUGGCACCUCGAUGUCGGCUCAUCGCAUCCUGGGGCUGUAGUCGGUCCCAAGGGUUGGGCUGUUCGCCCAUUAAAGCGGUACGCGAGCUGGGUUCAGAACGUCGUGAGACAGUUCGGUCCCUAUCCGUCGUGGGCGUAGGAAAUUUGAGAGGAGCUGUCCUUAGUACGAGAGGACCGGGAUGGACGCACCGCUGGUGUACCAGUUGUUCUGCCAAGGGCAUAGCUGGGUAGCUAUGUGCGGAAGGGAUAAGUGCUGAAAGCAUCUAAGCAUGAAGCCCCCCUCAAGAUGAGAUUUCCCAUAGCGUAAGCUAGUAAGAUCCCUGAAAGAUGAUCAGGUUGAUAGGUUCGAGGUGGAAGCAUGGUGACAUGUGGAGCUGACGAAUACUAAUAGAUCGAGGACUUAACCA